AAGUCGUAACAAGGUUUCCGUAGGUGAACCUGCGGAAGGAUCAUUAACACGUAUCCAACGUUAAACAACCCUGUGAACUUUAAGCCUACUCUUGCAGCCCAUGAGGAACAGCAAUCCCGGUAAAUCAUUGCCAAACAGUUUUGAUUCGGGACCUCUGUCCAAAAGGAGUUGCAAUUGAGUGGUAGAUGCAGUGGCAUGGCUUCCCCAAGCAGUUAGUGAAUGACAGUGUCACUGACUGUGUAAGGAUAACGCCUCACGAUGUCACAGGGCCACCGCGCCCCUUAAUCACUCCACUAGAAAAUGCCCCGCCUAGUGGUAACGCGCUAGGUAAAAAAAACCGAACACAAUGGAUAUCUUGGUUCUC
rnacentral:misc_RNA from 1 species